GGGAGACGCUCCGGGAAAACCUUGGCAGCCCACAGUGAUAGUUAAGGCUACAGUGGCUGCUGCAGGAUGAGCUCAUUUCAUACCCAUUCAUUGAGGAAGGAACACACUGCAACGCCAUAUACCCCUGGGGUUAUUGACUUCCUGUGAGUUACAUGCGACAACAGAGUUUAUUGGUUGAGGAGAAAAAGCUUUUCAAAAGUAUUUCUGAGAAGAGAAGCGCACACUCUGCUCCAGACACUCAUCAACAUCUAGCGACAGCACAAGGAACACACGGCGUCAGCAACUCGGGUCAGAGCGGCCACGAGAGCAGUUGUUGUGGAUAUUUGACGGGAAUAGCAAAUCCCCACGAAUGAAUCUGGCAGCCAUACCUAAGCUUCUUCAACCACAAAAUGCGGAUCCUGAUACCUGGUGUGCUAUGUCCCAUAUCGCUUUGAGGAUAAUUUUUAACAUUUGUGAAAGGACAUCGAAAAAUAAAAGCUAUGAAAAUAGAAGGGAAGCUA